GGAAUAUUGGGCAAUGGGGGCAACCCUGACCCAGCCACGCCGCGUGCAGGAUGACACCCCUAUGGGGCGUAAACUGCUUUUGUACGAGAAGAACUUCCUGGAUUCGUCCGGGAUUGACGGUACCGUACGAAUAAGGACCGGCUAACUCCGUGCCAGCAGCCGCGGUAAUACGGAGGGUCCAAGCGUUGUCCGGAUUUAUUGGGUGUAAAGGGUGUGUAGGCGGGCUUGUAAGUCAGAGGUGAAAUCCUACAGCUCAACUGUAGAACUGCCUUUGAUACUGCAGGUCUUGAGUCCUGGAGAGGUUGCUAGAAUUCGUGGUGUAGCGGUGAAAUGCGUAGAUAUCACGAGGAAUACCUGUUACGAAGGUUGGCAACUGGACAGGCACUGACGCUGAGGCACGAAAGCGUGGGGAGCAAAC
rnacentral:rRNA from 1 species